rnacentral:rRNA from 1 species
UACGGCUCAGUAACGCGUACUCCUUUUAACCUAUGGACGGGAAUAACCUCGGGAAACUGAGAAUCCUGCCCGAUAGAACAUUAUGCCUGGAAUGGUUUAUGUUCCAAAUGAUUUAUCGCCGUAGGAUGGGACUGCGGCCUAUCAGUUUGUUGGUGAGGUAAUGGCCCACCAAGGCUAUUACAGGUACGGGCUCUGAGAGGAGUAGCCCGGAGAUGGGUACUGAGACACGGACCCAGGCCCUAUGGGGCGCAGCAGGCGAGAAAACUUUGCAAUGUGCGAAAGCACGACAAGGUUAAUCCGAGUGGUUUCUGCUAAAGAAACCUUUUGUCAGUCCUAGAAACACUGAUGAAUAAGGGGUGGGCAAGUUCUGGUGUCACCCGCCGCGAUAAAACCAGCACCUCAAGUGGUCAGGAUGAUUAUUGGGCCUAAAGCAUCCGUAGCCGGCUCUGUAAGUUUUCGGUUGAAUCUGUACGCUCAACGUACAGGCUGCCGGGAAUACUGCAGAGCUAGGGAGUGGGAGA